rnacentral:rRNA from 1 species
UAUGUGAUCGUCUCUCGCAUAUCAAUAAGCGGAGGAAAAGAAACUAACAAGGAUUCCCCUAGUAACGGCGAGUGAAGCGGGAAGAGCUCAAAUUUGAAAUCUUAAAGGGUUUCCCUUUACGAAUUGUAGUUUAAAGAAGUGUUUUCUGUUGAGGUUUUGGUAAAAGUUCUUUGGAAUAGGACAUCAUAGAGGGUGAGAAUCCCGUAUUUGACCUUUACUUUCAACUUUGUGAUACACUUUCAAAGAGUCGGAUUGUUUGGGAAUGCAGUCCAAAAUGGGUGGUAAAUUUCAUCUAAAGCUAAAUAUUGGCGAGAGACCGAUAGCGAACAAGUACCGUGAGGGAAAGAUGAAAAGAACUUUGAAAAGAGAGUUAAACAGUACGUGAAAUUGUCAAAAGGGAAGCGUUUGACACCAGUGUUGUUUUUCUGAAAAUCAAUUAAAGAACUGUUUAUGCUAAGUUGUUUAGACUUUAUCAGCUAACUGUUUAGUUUUGAGCUUUUCUUUAAUGCACUUUUCAGUCAACAAGUCAACAUCAAUUUCUUUUGCUGUAAAAAAGCUUGAGGAAGGUGGCUUGAGAUUCGUCUUAAGUGUUUAUAGCCUCUUGCCUAUGCAGUCGGAGAGAUUGAGGUCUGCAGCGUAGAUCCUUCGGGGCUAAAUGCAUUUGUGCUAAGUUAUAGCAUUUUAUAGACAACUUGUUGACUAUGAUUUGUCUUGUAGCUUACUCGCUUAUGUUAUUUUACCUACGCUUAGGAUGUUGACACACGCGCGUGCUCG